rnacentral:rRNA from 1 species
UACGUAGGGUGCAAGCGUUGUCCGGAAUUAUUGGGCGUAAAGAGCUUGUAGGCGGUUUGUCGCGUCUGCUGUGAAAUUUCGGGGCUCAACCCCGAACUUGCAGUGGGUACGGGCAGACUAGAGUGUGGUAGGGGAGAUUGGAAUUCCUGGUGUAGCGGUGGAAUGCGCAGAUAUCAGGAGGAACACCGAUGGCGAAGGCAGAUCUCUGGGCCAUUACUGACGCUGAGGAGCGAAAGCGUAGGGAGCGAACAGG